UACGAAGGGGGCUAGCGUUGCUCGGAAUCACUGGGCGUAAAGCGCACGUAGGCGGCUUUUAAGUCAGGGGUGAAAUCCUGGAGCUCAACUCCAGAACUGCCUUUGAUACUGGGAAGCUCGAGUCCGGGAGAGGUGAGUGGAACUCCGAGUGUAGAGGUGAAAUUCGUAGAUAUUCGGAAGAACACCAGUGGCGAAGGCGGCUCACUGGCCCGGUACUGACGCUGAGGCGCGACAGCGUGGGGAGCAAACAGG
rnacentral:rRNA from 1 species